rnacentral:rRNA from 1 species
AACGAACGCUGGCGGCAGGCUUAACACAUGCAAGUCGAACGCAUCCUUCGGGGUGAGUGGCAGACGGGUGAGUAACGCGUGGGAACGUGCCCUUCAGUUCGGAAUAACCCAGGGAAACUUGGGCUAAUACCGGAUACGUGCGAGAGCAGAAAGAUUUAUCGCUGAAGGAUCGGCCCGCGUCUGAUUAGCUAGUUGGUGAGGUAAUGGCUCACCAAGGCGACGAUCAGUAGCUGGUCUGAGAGGAUGAUCAGCCACAUUGGGACUGAGACACGGCCCAAACUCCUACGGGAGGCAGCAGUGGGGAAUAUUGGACAAUGGGCGCAAGCCUGAUCCAGCCAUGCCGCGUGAGUGAUGAAGGCCUUAGGGUUGUAAAGCUCUUUCGGCGGGGACGAUAAUGACGGUACCCGCAGAAGAAGCCCCGGCUAACUUCGUGCCAGCAGCCGCAGUAA